rnacentral:rRNA from 1 species
GACGAACCGUACGAACGUUAUUCGGAAUUACUGGGCUUAAAGGGCGCGUAGGCGGCCUGCUAAGUCGAUCGUGAAAUCCCCCGGCUUAACCUGGGAACUGCGUCUGAUACUGGAGGGCUUGAGUAUGGGAGAGGGAUGUAGAAUUCCAGGUGUAGCGGUGAAAUGCGUAGAUAUCUGGAGGAAUACCGGUGGCGAAGGCGGCAUCCUGGACCAUUACUGACGCUGAGGCGCGAAAGCUAGGGGAGCAAACGGG